CAGAUUCCCCCCUGGGCCUCCAUUACGGUGGUGGGAGAAGAUCGAAGUUCAUUCUGCACUGAGGAGUUCAGGCUCCCCACAUGGCAUCCUACUAAUUUCCCUUGCUGAAAGGAGGAGGACAGGCCCACUGACACUGUGUGUCAGGUACAGGGGUAAAGGAUGGUCUUCUUGGCCUCAUUACCACGAUGGGGUGGAAGAUUAGGCUCCCUGGAGAGGAGCACUUACUGAGACCACAGUGGGAGAGCUUUUUGUCAUCUGGCUCCUUCUCUGACAUCACGCUCAUGGAGGAGGGGCUUCAACUUUUAUACUUUCCAAGCGGACCACAGGCAGAAAGUUCCAACAGGAAAAAUGAUCACAUUGUGUUUUAUCUUUAUUAUCAAGAUCUGAAGUGUUUUAUCAAAAGGAGUUGGUCAAUGAGGCCGGGCAAGUCCUGGAAGGAGCUAUGAAGAGCUUCUCUAGGAAGAAGAAAUUUGAGGAGGGACCUCAUUAAAGCCAGGGAAAUUGCUAUGUGAUGAUCCCAUGGAAGAGUGCUCCAGAGAGAACAGAAAGUGCAAAGAUCCUGUGGCGGUACUGAGUAUGAUGUGCUUGAAAAAUUGUGGGGUCAGCGUGCUGAAAGCCAAGGAAGCAAGGCAAGGCUGGCAGGUGAUGAGUUUGGAGAAACACUGGGAAGAUUUUGAGGGUCUGACAGGCCCCAGGUUAGGAGUUUGGAUUUUAUUGUUGAGAUAUUUCUCUCAUUGACUCUCUCCUAAAAUUAAACCCCAACACUUCUUGGUUACCACAGAUUUUCACUCUGUGCCUUAUAAGUAACUAUUCAUUGUUGUCACAGGCAGCAUAGCCACUCCAUGCAGUAAAAAUUGGCAUCACUCACCCUGUGGGGCUCUUGGCCACAAGUCCAUUUCACUGUCUCCACAACCUACAGGGGUCUCUAAAUGGCAGUGCUCGAGCCCAGCAUGAGUGGCUAAUGCCAUGUUCACGUGCAGUCACAAACCCCAAGUCCAGUCUAGAUAAUACAGUGGGCCAGACGAGGACAUGCCUCAGAUAUCCACAAACAUGCGAUUCCCAUAGCCUAUUUUAUAUUUUCAAGUGCACUCCACUGAAUUUAAAAAGAAAAACAAAACAAAACAAAACAAAAACCAACCAGGGGGAAUUGUUUUGAAGUCCCAGAAUCUUUCUGUUUAAAGUUAUGGGGAAAAUGGAUGUAUAUGCUUUCCUGGAUAUAAAAUAUAACCAGAAAAGUAAAGCAAAAAUAAAAUAAUUUCCAUGCCAGGAUAGGAAAUUCAGAGUUUACAUAAGGAAAUUCAGAGUUUUCCAAUAAGGAAAGUUGGGCCAUAAUUAUUUAACAAACAUUGUUGGAUCUGGAUAAGCAAUUGUGCUCCCGUUUUCAUUUUGGAACAUAUAACUAUGGAGACAUCCUGGAUCUGACACUAUUUAGCCACCCAUCUUUAUAGAUUUAAGCGUCAUCUAGCUCUGCUACCUGCCAUAAAAAUAUUUCAAAUUCAGGUAUCUUGCUUUUGCUUUCUUAUCAAAAUAAUGGACAUUUACCAAGUGGCACUAAAGUGAUAGGGCAUUGUUCUUGAGAAAAUACAUAGUAGCUAGAAUACAGGUAGGUGUGAGGAACAGGUUUGUGGAUGCAGGUAAACUAAGUCACCUCCUGGUUCCAUUACUGUCUAGUUGUGUGGGCUUCACUGUGUUACUUCACUUUUAAUUCCUUAGUCUCUACAUCUGGAAAACAAGGAUAAAAAAUACCCACCUCAUAAUGUGGUGAGGACUGAGAUAACACAGGGACCCCAACAUAGAGUGAGGACUUCAUCAGUGGCAGUUUUGUAAUAAUUAUAGAUUAUUACAGAAAGUUACAAUAAGAGUAUGGCAAGGUCACCUGGUUUCUUUCAGUGGCUUCAUCUUACAUAAUUUUAUAGGGAAUUAACAUCAGUAUAAUGUAUGUGUAUAGAUCUAUGGAUUUUAUCACAUGUAUGGAUUCAUCUAAUCACCACCAUGAUCAAGCUACAGAAGUAUCCUAUCACUCCAAAAGGCUCCCACUUGCUACUCAGGAAGUCACACACCCUGUCACUCCAGCCCUCACCAUCUUUAUCCUCCAUCAACCACUACUGAUCUGUUUUCCAUCUCUGUAAUUUUGUCAUUACAGAAAUGUUUUUAUAAAUAGAAUAACAUAGUAUGUGACCUUCUGAAAUGGACUGUUUUUUCACUCUUGAUAAUGCCUUUGAGAUCUAGCCAAGUCAUGGCAUGUAUCAGAAAGUGUGGGUUUUAUUAAAAACAUCAUGCAAUGCUCAUCAUGGUAAGGUUGCACUAAGUCUGGCUUGAGGAAAACUCAGUAGCAAUACCUGAAUCACUUCCUAUGAAGACAACUAAUAGAGUUAAAGAAAAGGUAAUGGCACUUGUAACAGUACCAACAAGGAUUUAUUGGUAGUUAUAAUCAUUAAAGCAGUUGAAGCAUGCUGCAUGUAUUAAAUUCUACUGACUGGAAGCAAGCAAUCUUUGGGAGGUACACGAAUGGAGAUGAGAUACAGAAAGAAGAGGUGGAAAUGUGCCAAGACCAACCACACUUGUUGGCUCUGAAGAGCCAUUCUCAUUCUACAUGCUAUAGCCAGACUGAAGCCAGGUGAAGCCAGGAUCAGCAAACCACAGCCCACAGGUCACACCCAGCCCUCUGCCUGUUUCUGUAUGGCCUGGGUGCUAAGGAUCAGUUUCACAUUUAAAGAGUUGAAAAAAAAAUCAAAGGAAAGAAUGAUAUUUGGUGACACUGGAAAACAUAUGAAAUUCAAUUUCAUUGUCCAUAAAUAAAGUUUUUUCAGAACACAAUCAUACUCCUUUGUUUAUGUAUUGUCUAAUAACUGCUUUCACACCACAA